rnacentral:rRNA from 1 species
AUGAACGCUGGCGGCGUGCUUAACACAUGCAAGUCGAACGAAGCACUUUAUUUGAUUUCCUUCGGGACUGAUUAUUUUGUGACUGAGUGGCGGACGGGUGAGUAACGCGUGGGUAACCUGCCUUGUACAGGGGGAUAACAGUUGGAAACGGCUGCUAAUACCGCAUAAGCGCACGGCAUCGCAUGAUGCAGUGUGAAAAACUCCGGUGGUAUAAGAUGGACCCGCGUUGGAUUAGCUAGUUGGUGAGGUAACGGCCCACCAAGGCGACGAUCCAUAGCCGACCUGAGAGGGUGACCGGCCACAUUGGGACUGAGACACGGCCCAAACUCCUACGGGAGGCAGCAGUGGGGAAUAUUGCACAAUGGGCGAAAGCCUGAUGCAGCGACGCCGCGUGAGCGAAGAAGUAUUUCGGUAUGUAAAGCUCUAUCAGCAGGGAAGAUAAUGACGGUACCUGACUAAGAAGCACCGGCUAAAUACGUGCCAGCAGCCGCGGUAAUACGUAUGGUGCAAGCGUUAUCCGGAUUUACUGGGUGUAAAGGGAGCGCAGGCGGUGCGGCAAGUCUGAUGUGAAAGCCCGGGGCUCAACCCCGGUACUGCAUUGGAAACUGUCGUACUAGAGUGUCGGAGGGGUGAGCGGAAUUCCUAGUGUAGCGGUGAAAUGCGUAGAUAUUAGGAGGAACACCAGUGGCGAAGGCGGCUUACUGGACGAUAACUGACGCUGAGGCUCGAAAGCGUGGGGAGCAAACAGGAUUAGAUACCCUGGUAGUCCACGCCGUAAACGAUGGAUACUAGGUGUAGGAGGUAUCGACCCCUCCUGUGCCGGAGUUAACGCAAUAAGUAUCCCGCCUGGGAAGUACGAUCGCAAGAUUAAAACUCAAAGGAAUUGACGGGGACCCGCACAAGCGGUGGAGCAUGUGGUUUAAUUCGAAGCAACGCGAAGAACCUUACCAAGUCUUGACAUCCUUCUGACCGGUACUUAAUCGUACCUUCUCUUUGGAGCAGGAGUGACAGGUGGUGCAUGGUUGUCGUCAGCUCGUGUCGUGAGAUGUUGGGUUAAGUCCCGCAACGAGCGCAACCCUUAUUGCCAGUUACUACGUUAAGAGGACUCUGGCGAGACUGCCGUUGACAAAACGGAGGAAGGUGGGGAUGACGUCAAAUCAUCAUGCCCCUUAUGACUUGGGCUACACACGUGCUACAAUGGCGUAAACAAAGGGAAGCAAAGCUGUGAAGCCGAGCAAAUCUCAAAAAUAACGUCUCAGUUCGGACUGUAGUCUGCAACCCGACUACACGAAGCUGGAAUCGCUAGUAAUCGCAGAUCAGAAUGCUGCGGUGAAUACGUUCCCGGGUCUUGUACACACCGCCCGUCACACCAUGGGAGUUGGGAAUGCCCGAAGCCAGUGACCUAACCGUAAGGAAGGAGCUGUCGAAGGCAGGCUCGAUAACUGGGGUG